UUCUCACCCUCAUGUCAGUUUGAACUUCUAACAUAACUCUUCUACAGUUGAUGCCAUUCCAAUCAGGGCCACCACGUUAAACUCUGAAAAAAGCUUGUCUCCUGAAACAUCAGAAAUUCCAAAAAAAGUCAGUCCAACUUUGGGUGUAUCAUCAAACAGAGGAGCUGGAUGUGCUACUCUUCUCCCUCCCUGAGGACGGAAGCCCACUCGUGGUCCUCUGUGACUUUAACAUUCACCUCAACAAACCUCAAGUCGCAGCCAUUUGCUUGCCUUGCUUGACCUCAAAUGCCUCACAAUGUUGCCAACUCACAAGUCAGACAAAAAUGAACACUGGAAGUUUUAUGGAAAGGACAAGAAGAGUGCACAGUGCUCAUUUCUGACUGACAACAGUGAGGAUGAGCUAGGCUUUAGUGACAGUGAAAAUAAUCAACAACAUUGAAGAACACAUGAUAAUGAUUCACAAAAUUUUUGUUUGUAAUUUAAUUAAAGAAUUACUGAUUUAAUUUAAGGAGAAAUUGAUAAUAUAACUAGUUUUGGACCAUUUUCCAUAGAGUUGCCAUAUGAUAUGUUUUUCAAAAAUGUCUUUUUAUUUUUGAUAUUAGAGCUCAACAAUACACUUUAUACUUUAUUUCAGAAAUUAAAAUGGGGAAAAGUACUAAAUCGUUAGAUAAUGCAUAUACAGGAAUGCAAUGUGUGCUGUCAGAGCUUAAAUUAAAAUGUUUAAAAAAAAAAACUAAAAAAAAACAUACGACCAAAAUCUAAUUCUGUCAUCAUUUACUCACCCUAAUUUUCUUUCCAAACCCAGAAAAUGUUCUUUCUUCAGUAGAACACAAAAGCAGAUGUUACUGUAGGCAGAAUGUUUGGGACUGACAGCCUUAGUCUUCAUUCACUCUUUUAUUGUAUGGAAAAAAAGAGCAGCGUCAACAUUCUUCAAAAUUUCUCCUCUUGUGUUCCACAGAAGAUUGAAAGUGAUACAUGCAUGUAUGCUGGAAAUAAAGUUCCAGCAUGAAAACUG